CUGGACAUGUCAUUGUGGACAAUUAGGGCUGGGACGGGUCCAAAUUUUCCACCCGGGUACCCCAUCCCCUAUUGCCCUACCCUACCCGGAUACCCGUUAUGUUAAUUCCGGACAUCAAAUUUGUAAGAAAUG